rnacentral:rRNA from 1 species
GCUAGCUACAGGCUUAACACAUGCAAGUCGAGGGCAGCAUAUAGAAAGCUUGCUUUUUAUGAUGGCGACCGGCGCACGGGUGAGUAACGCGUAUCCAACCUGCCUGUUACCAGGGCACAGCCCGGCGAAAGUCGGAUUAAUGCCCUAUGUGGUGCGAGGAUGACAUCUGAUUCGCACUAAAGAUUUUAUCGGUAACGGAUGGGGAUGCGUCUGAUUAGGUAGUCGGCGGGGUAACGGCCCACCGAGCCGACGAUCAGUAGGGGUUCUGAGAGGAAGGUCCCCCACAUUGGAACUGAGACACGGUCCAAACUCCUACGGGAGGCAGCAGUGAGGAAUAUUGGUCAAUGGGCGGUAGCCUGAACCAGCCAAGUAGCGUGAGGGAAGACGGCCCUAUGGGUUGUAAACCUCUUUAGUCGGGGAAUAAAGUUCGCGACGUGUCGCGUUUUGUAGGUACCCGAAGAAUAAGGACCGGCUAAUUCCGUGCCAGCAGCCGCGGUAAUACGGAAGGUCCUGGCGUUAUCCGGAUUUAUUGGGUUUAAAGGGAGCGCAGGCGGCCCUGUAAGCGGGCAGUGAAAUGUCGGAGCUCAACUCCGUCACUGCUGUCCGAACUGCUGGGCUUGAGUGCGCGCGAGGGAAGCGGAAUUUGUGGUGUAGCGGUGAAAUGCUUAGAUAUCACGAAGAACUCCGAUUGCGAAGGCAGCUUCCCAGAGCGCAACUGACGCUAAAGCUCGAAAGUGCGGGUAUCGAACAGGAUUAGAUACCCUGGUAGUCCGCACGGUAAACGAUGGAUGCCCGCUGUUCCGGCGUUUAGUGGGA